ensembl:snRNA U6 U6 spliceosomal RNA
GUGCUGAUGUUGGCGGCACAUAUACUAAAAUUGGAAAGACACAGAGCAGAUUAGCAUGACCCCUGCCCUGGGAUGGCAUGCAAAUUUGUGAAGCAGCACGUAUUUUU